ACUCCCGUUCUUGGCAGGCCCCGGCCGCCCUGUGCCCGGGUCUGUGAUGUCCGGAGGUAGAGCAGCGACUCUUUCACGGGGGGCACCCCCUUGUCAUGG
rfam:Buceros rhinoceros silvestris contig62428, whole genome shotgun sequence.